rnacentral:rRNA from 1 species
GAUCAUGGCUCAGGAUGAGCGCUAGCUACAGGCUUAACACAUGCAAGUCGAGGGGCAGCAUGGUCUUAGCUUGCUAAGACUGAUGGCGACCGGCGCACGGGUGAGUAACACGUAUCCAACCUGCCGUCUACUCUUGGACAGCCUUCUGAAAGGAAGAUUAAUACAAGAUGGCAUCAUGAGUCCGCAUGUUCACAUGAUUAAGGUAUUCCGUAGACG